GAUGAACGCUGGCGGCGUGCCUAAUACAUGCAAGUCGAGCGAACAGACGAGGAGUUUGCUCCUCUGACGUUAGCGGCGGACGGGUGAGUAACACGUGGAUAACCUACCUAUAAGACUGGGAUAACUUCGGGAAACCGGAUCUAAUACCGGAUAAUAUAUUGAACCGCAUGGUUCAAUAGUGAAAGACGGUUUUGCUGUCUCUAAUAGCUGGUUCCCCGCGGCAUUAUAUAGUUGUUAAGGUAACGGCUUACCAAGGGUACGAUGCGUGGCCGACCUGAGAGGGUGAGCGGCCACACUGGAACUGAGACACGGUCAAGACUCCUACGGGAGGCAGCAGUAGGGAAUGUUGGGCAAUGGGCGAAAGCAUGACGGAGCAACGCCGCGUGUGUGAUGAAGGUCUUCGGAUCGUAAAGCUCUGUUAUUGGGGAAGAACAGAUGUAGAAGUAGAUAUAGACGUCUUGACGGUACCUAAUCAAGAAGCACCGGCUAACUACGUG
rnacentral:rRNA from 1 species